CCCUUAGAUGUUCUGGGCUGCACGCGCGCUACACUGAUGCGCUCAACGAGUUUACGAUCUUGCCCGGAAGGGUUGGUUAAUCUUUUUAAAACGCAUCGUGAUGGGGAUAGAUUAUUGCAAUUAUUAAUCUUCAACGAGGAAUUCCUAGUAAGCGCGAGUCAUCAGCUCGCACUGAUUACGUCCCUGCCCUUUGUACACACCGCCCGUCGCUCCUACCGAUUGAAUGAGCCGAUGAAACUGCCGGAUGUGGACUAUUCAUAGUCUGCAGAAGAUAUUUGAAUCGUAGCGCUUAGAGGAAGGAGAAGUCGUAACA
rnacentral:rRNA from 1 species